UCAGGAAAUCACCUGGGAGAUCAGCCAUUAACAAAAUGGCCCAUUACCUACCGUUUGUAUUUUGUUAAUGGCUGAUCUCCCAGGUGAUUUCCUGA